UCCGUGUUCUGCAAUGGGCAGUCAUCACAAGUGUAACAAGUAAAGCAACAUUAAGCACACUAAAAUUGCAUUUUUUUCUCUCGGAAUGUCUUAUAUGGACAGUAACUGGAGGGAUCUUGACGCUAGGAGAAGUGAUGGAUUACCACUGACAACAAGUAGCAAUGAUGCAGCAAAAAUGUUUGAUGCUACCCUAACACAGUACACAGGAUGGUAUGACUGACAACAAUGUCAAUGGAAUUGAGGGCUCUGUCUCGAAGGUAUUAGCAGCAGAUCCCAACUUUGGCCGUAAUGGGUCAUGUGAUCUCGUGUGGCUUAGACCUGAUCUCAUCUGGAAAAGGAAUCCACACAGAUCAAGAGCUGAAGAGCAGCAUGCUGUCCCUUAAAGGGUUAGCUGCCAGGAGUAACAUCACAAACAGAGAGAGACUGCAUGUCAAGGCAGUCAAAGAAUGGGCAAAAGGAUAUCCUCACGGAAUGUACGCGUUUGGCCUGAUAGAAACAGGAUUUUACAAAAAGGCGGAGAAGCAUGCAGGUCUUGAAUUGAGUCCAAGAGAUUGCUGGAGCACUCAUGCAGAGGCUCAUGUCAUAGAAAUGGAAGGACGUCAGGAUGAUGGAAUUAAAGUCCUUAGCACGACCUUGAAUGACUGGACUGGAGAACAUCAAGCCGCAUUGGACAUUUAUGACGAGGAGGUUGGGAAACGUUGCCAUUCUGGUGCCAUGCUUGACUUAGUGGACGCUUCCUCACUGCUCUACACACUUCAGAUGGAAGCUAAUGAGAUAACACGUACCUGCAGAUGUGUUUUGUUAAUGUUAAUGAUCGGUGGAGAGAGCUGUUUCAUUUUUGGGAGUCACACACAGAUAAUCACAUUCUGGUUUUCAAUGAUGUUCAUGUGUUGAUGUGUACAAUGGGAGCUAAAAAGGAAGAUGCAACACUAACUCUAAUGAUGUCACUUAGAGACUUUGUUAGGGAUGGCUCAGGAACAAAUUGCGAAGUACCUAGAGAG
rnacentral:misc_RNA from 1 species